GACGAACGCUGGCGGCGUGCUUAACACAUGCAAGUCGAGCGGUAAGGCCCUUUCGGGGUACGACGAGCGGCGAACGGGUGAGUAACACGUGGGUGACCUGCCCUCCAGCUCUGGGAGUAAGCCUGGGAAACCGGGUCUAAUACCGGAUAUGACUCCAUGACGCAUGUUGUGGGGUGGAAAGCCUUGUGCGGCUGAGGAUGGGCCCGCGGCCUAUCAGCUUGUUGGUGGGGUGAUGGCCUACCAAGGCGACGACGGGUAGCCGGCCUGAGAGGGCGACCGGCCACACUGGGACUGAGACACGGCCCAGACUCCUACGGGAGGCAGCAGUGGGGAAUCUUGCGCAAUGGGCGAAAGCCUGACGCAGCGACGCCGCGUGAGGGAUGACGGCCUGUGUAACU
rnacentral:rRNA from 1 species